UGGGGAAUAUUGGACAAUGGGCGCAAGCCUGAUCCAGCCAUACCGCGUGGGUGAAGAAGGCCUUCGGGUUGUAAAGCCCUUUUGUUGGGAAAGAAAUCCAGCUGGCUAAUACCCGGUUGGGAUGACGGUACCCAAAGAAUAAGCACCGGCUAACUUCGUGCCAGCAGCCGCGGUAAUACGAAGGGUGCAAGCAUUACUCGGAAUUACUGGGCGUAAAGCGUGCGUAGGUGGUCGUUUAAGUCCGUUGUGAAAGCCCUGGGCUCAACCUGGGAACUGCAGUGGAUACUGGGCGACUAGAGUGUGGUAGAGGGUAGCGGAAUUCCUGGUGUAGCAGUGAAAUGCGUAGAGAUCAGGAGGAACAUCCAUGGCGAAGGCAGCUACCUGGACCAACACUGACACUGAGGCACGAAAGCGUGGGGAGCAAACAGGAUUAGAUACCCUGGUAGUCCACGCCCUAAACGAUGCGAACUGGAUGUUGGGUGCAAUUUGGCACGCAGUAUCGAAGCUAACGCGUUAAGUUCGCCGCCUGGGGAGUACGGUCGCAAGACUG
rnacentral:rRNA from 1 species